rnacentral:lncRNA from 1 species
GCGGAAACGAGGCGGGGUUUUGUCGCGGGGCGGGAGGGGGAAGUGAGAGAGGAGCAGGAGUAAUUUACGAAAAGCUCCGCGGCGGUAGGCCUUUCGGGAAACGCCUCUAGGUGAGGCCCCACCCAAUGGCGGGAGGGCGUGGGAGGCGGGGCUUGGCCGACAGCUCUUCUGAACUAGCUGUUCCGAGUGGGGCGGGCAGGAGGCAAAGCUAAUAACAGGCGGCGCCUACGGCCAAUCGCGGGAGGGGGGUUCUGAGGCCUGAACGGGCGUGAUGAAAUUGUGCGUCUUAACUCGUGAUUGAAUUGCCUGUAAUCCAAUCACGGCUGAGGCUCUCCCCUCCGCCCACAAGACCGUUUCGCAAAGUGGGUUUGGGGAGGCCUGGGAUAAUGCGGGGAAUGGCACGGAAUGUAGCCAAUCAGCUUCCGCAGAGAGAAUGGUGAGGGGAAGACGCGUUUCAUAGUGAUGGAACGCUUAGCCAAACAGCGCCAAGAAGAGACCGGAGAAAAACAGUCUGCCCCAAUGAGGAAGAGGGACCUCCUUAAAUUGGCCAAUGGGCGAGGCGGUCCCUGCGGUGUGUGGUUGUUUUUUGAGGAAAAGGUGACGGAUGUUGGCGCCAUUUUAGCUCAGGCGCAGAGGGCGACGUCCCGCCUUUUUCCUCCAUUUAAUGAAGCGGUUAUGUAACAAGUGACGCGAGUGGGGUUUUUUUUUCUUCCUGGGAAUUGGCGAAAGGUCUCACAUCCGGUCAUAACUUGAGUGGCUGGUUGUGACGGUUAAUUUUUUUUUUUUUCGCUAAUUGCCAGCGAAAAGAAGAUGGAGACCGGGGAGGAGGAAGGGUCAGGUGUUUUUCUUUUCUCACGUGUUGCGCAUAACACGCUUUUUAGAGCAGCAGCCACAGAAAUUAGAAACGGUGCCCUUCAGAAAAGGAGCGGGUCAAUCUGCACGUGCUCAGAGGCACGUGAGUUUAAGGGCCAAGGUUUCUAGGCGGAUCUGGUUCUUCUGUAUUAUUUUUGUUACCAAAAUCAAUAGUUAAAGGUGUUCGUUUUCCCCACAGCCUCUUUUUCUCCUGGUUUCAUCCGUGUUCUGGUCUACACUGAAACUCCACUGUUGUCAGUGGAAGCUGAAUUUCAGUUCCACACAUGUUUACCCAAAUACCCAGUGGGUCAGUUACAGGUGACACUUAAUAUCUGUCAUGCAAUUGUAAGAAAUCAAUCUUGUAGUGUGGCAGCACCUAAACUUUGGAACUUGCUGCCGGUUGACAUCAGGCAGGCACCUGCUAAAAGUAUUUUUGGUUAGACAAACCCGCAUUGCAGGGGGUUGGACUAGAUGACCGUCAGGAUCCCUUCGAGCUCUACAACUGCUUCUACACAGAUGUCUGUUUUGAUUUGAUUUUAGUUUAUCACUGAAUGUUGUUUUUAAUAGCUGUUUUUAACUGUUUUGCCAAUACAGUAAUUCAUUUCAUUUUAGGUUUACAAUCAAGUUACAUCCAAUCAGAGCUACCUUGUGCAAUAAUUUCCUUUUGGUCUUAACUCUGGCUAAUGCAAACUGGUCAGUGUAGGGUGAAAAGGUCAGCAAAAUGAAAUCCAUCUAAGCAAGUGUUUAGAUAACCAGACCCUCAAGGAUUGCAUAGAGAUUUCCAUAUAAUAGGAACAAUAUCUUCAAAUAAAGCUUUAGGUGUUGGUCGGAUAACUCAUGUCUGAAUCCUGUAUCUGUUAUCUCACCUUAAGAAUGUAAAAAAGCUGCUGCUGGACCAAAACAAAGACCCAUCCUGUUCUCAGUGGCCAGCCAGAAGUCUAUAAGAAGCCCAAGAGCAGGACCUGAGUGGAAUAGCACCAUCUCUACUUGUAAUUCCCAGCAAUUUUUAUCCAGAGAUUGCCUCUGGCACUAGACAUAGAGCCAUCAUGACAAGUAGUCAUUGAUAGCUUUAUCCUCCAUGAAUUUAUUUGAUCCUCUUUUAAAGCCAUCCAAGCUGGUGGCCACCACAUCUCAUGGAAGCAAACUCUAACUAUGCACUGUGAAAAAGUACCUUCUUUUGGCUGUCCUAGAUCCAUACCAUGCAUUGUCUUACAGACUUCUAUCAUGUCCCACCCCCUGUUGUUUUCCAAACUAAAAAGUUGCAACCUUUCCUCCUAGGGAAGUUGCUCCAGCAUCCCCCCCCCCUUCUGAAUCUGGUAAUCCCUUCUUCCUCCAAAUUGAAAGGAGGAUCUGACCAAGUGUCCUGCGUUAAUCUGUAGCUGGGAUUUCCCUGGUUGGACCCACUUUGCCUUCCUCUUCCAUUCCAGGGAUGGAUAAAUCAUUUCACAUGGACUCAGAGAAACUUUUUAUACCACAAGGUCAAAUAUUUUCAUCCCUGGAUAAGUUAACGGAGGAAAUGUUGAGCUAAGAAAUAAGUAUCCAUGCAGGCCUUCAUUUGCACCCGUGUGAAAACAAAAUAAAAGUGAGGCUCUGGUGCCCUGCAGCAAAAAAAAAUAUAAGCAGGAUAGUUACUGCUUCAUAAACUUUAUAACGCAGAUGAAGUGAAGUUAUUUUUCCCCUUGUAAGUGUUGGAAGCUUCAGGAAAGACACAAAGGAUAGGACAAAAUUCUGCUAUUCUUUCAGUGUUGCACUGGAUAUCCUCUUGGAGAAAGCCCAAAAUGAGCGUGAGAGCAGCUGCUGUCUAUGUUAAACCAGCAGCUGGAAAAUUCUGCCUCUACCAAGUAUGACCUCACGCCCCCAUUCCCAUCCGAGGGAAUUGUUUUCAUUUCACUUCUGGAGAUCAGAGGGCAACCAAAAUAACAGUGUUUCUUAGUCAACCGUUCAAGUUUUGAAGAGAAGGAAAAGCCUCUAGACAGAAAUGCAGAGGAUGCAGAACCCAUAAAAGCAAAGAAACAGCAGCUACAAAAAAAACAACAUGGAAACUUCUGCUGCUGCCUGGUUUCAUAUCUAAGUGCUUUGAAGAGUUGCGAGGGGCAGGGCUAUAGUUGCUGAUCCAGAGACAUCAUCGAAAAGCUCUUCAGCAGGAACUGGAGCCACUGGUUAAGUGGAUAUAAGCAGAUCUGCUUGAGCUGCAGGCCAGCUUGAUAUUCAGGAUCCACUUUGCCCUGUUGGUUUCCUGGGUAGAGGGCCCUGUGGCGCAGUUGUACUGUCCCCAGUUUGUCAUGUUAAGAUCACCCAGCCCUCCAUCAUGUAUAAGCAAAGCAGAGGAGUCAAGUCAGUCAAGUGCCCAAUACACAACCAGAAGAAAGGCUUCUGUCUCACACAGUGACAGCCCCUACCUCCUGGCAUUGUCACGCUUCUUGCUUCAUCCCUGAGUGCCCCCUGGACAUCUUCCUGACUAGGUGACUGCCUGGAAAAUGACACCUGUCAAUCAGCACCCACCUGGGCCAUGGAUCUUGAAAGUCACUGAUUACCAAAAUACCCAUAUUCUGGUGCUGUGUUUUAUUUCAGUUUUUAUCUACGUACUUGCUAUUUCUCCCCAUCUUCCUUAUUACCUAUACUUUUGAAUAAACUGAUGGAUUGGAUUCUCGAGGUGUACUGGUUUCUGGACACACUCAAGAGCUGGUUGUCCUCCCACAUUCCUUAGACAUCUUGGGCUAUGUAACUGGUAGUCACACAGUGCUGGGAGAGCAGGAGGGGAAGCAGACUGAAGUUGCUAAGCAGGAGAUUUGGAAUUCAGCUGUCUGUUAACCUACCAUAACCCAUUGCUGUGUGUGACACAAAAGCAGGUAGUGGCAAUAGAAAGAAUAUGAUGGGUCACCCAGUGCCGCUAGGCUACCUUGUAGGCUUGGUGCUGGAGCGGGGCCACCCUACCAUUACAGCACAAACACAAUGAGCACUCAGGUUGGUUGGCCAGCUGGCAUCCCAUUACCAUGCAACUCUGGUUCAGUAACUUGUGUCUGACAGACUUCGAAAUGGAUGAUUUCUUGCAAAGGGACUUAUGCUUUUCUUUAUUAGCUUGCUUUGGACUCUCAGCAUCUGGUAGGAUUGCAGCUUUAAAAAGAUUUGGUAGAAUGCUUGUGCCAAAAAACAGCAUUGCAGGCAAAAAAGAACAACAGCU